CAUCAACGAAAAGGCAACACCAACAAAACAACUAUUGAAUCAUAAAAGUUAAAAAACAAAGAUAUCAAAAAACAAACCAACUUCAUUUCAUCUUCGCAACGACUUUGACUCGACACUUAAUUGAUAUUGAUAUAUCAUCGUAUAAAUAUACAGAAUUGGCAAUAAACAAGCUCACUAAACAUACAAGCACUUAACUCUCUCGACUACCCAAAACCAAAACCCGUGCAAUUCCCACAUCAAGAAAAUACCAAAUAAAAUAUCACAACAAAAACAAAAAUAAGCUAAAUAAUAACAUUUAAAA